UACAGGAGGGUGCAAGCGUUAACUCGGAAUUACGUGGGCGUAAAAGCGCAUGUAGGUUGAUAUUUAAGUCGGAUGUGAAAGCCCACGGGCCGUAACCUGGGAACCGGCAUUCGAUACUGGAUGUCGUAGAGUAUGGUAGAGGGAGGUGAAUUUCCGGUGUAGCGGUGAAAUGCGUAGAUAUCGGAAAGAACAUCAGUGGCGAAAGCGGACUUCCGUGGUCCAGCUACCGGACGUCAGGCACGAA
rnacentral:rRNA from 1 species